rnacentral:rRNA from 1 species
CGCGUAGGCGGUCUGAUAAGUCAGUUGUGAAAGCCCGGGGCUCAACCCCGGAAGUGCAAUUGAAACUGUCAGGCUUGAGUAUGGUAGAGGGAAGUGGAAUUCCUGGUGUAGCGGUGAAAUGCGUAGAUAUCAGGAGGAACACCGGUGGCGAAGGCGACUUCCUGGACCAAUACUGACGCUGAGGCGCGAAGGUGUGGGGAGCAAACAGGAUUAGAUACCCUGGUAGUC